AUUGAACGCUGGCGGCAUGCCUUACACAUGCAAGUCGAACGGCAGCGGGGGAGAAGCUUGCUUUUCCUGCCGGCGAGUGGCGAACGGGUGAGUAAUACAUCGGAACGUGCCCUGUAGUGGGGGAUAACUAGUCGAAGGAUUAGCUAAUACCGCAUACGACCUGAGGGUGAAAGGGGGGGACCGCAAGGCCUCAUGCUAUAUGAGCGGCCGAUGUCUGAUUAGCUAGUUGGUGGGGUAAAGGCCUACCAAGGCGACGAUCAGUAGCUGGUCUGAGAGGACGAUCAGCCACACUGGGACUGAGACACGGCCCAGACUCCUACGGGAGGCAGCAGUGGGGAAUUUUGGACAAUGGGCGAAGGCCUGAUCCAGCAAUGCCGCGUGUGUGAAGAAGGCCUUCGGGUUGUAAAGCACUUUUGUCCGGAAAGAAAUGGCUCUGGUUAAUACCUGGGGUCGAUGACGGUACCGGAAGAAUAAGGACCGGCUAACUACGUGCCAGCCGCCGCGGUAA
rnacentral:rRNA from 1 species